rnacentral:rRNA from 1 species
UACGUAGGGGGGCAAGCGUUGUCCGGAAUCAUUGGGCGUAAAGAGCGUGUAGGCGGCCAGAUAAGUCCGCUGUGAAAAUCUCGAGGCUCAACUUCGAGCUGUCGGUGGAAACUGUCUGGCUAGAGUCCGGAAGAGGAGAAUGGAAUUCCUGGUGUAGCGGUGAAAUGCGCAGAUAUCAGGAAGAACACCCGUGGCGAAGGCGGUUCUCUGGGACGGUACUGACGCUGAGACGCGAAAAGCGUGGGGGAGCGAACAGG